rnacentral:rRNA from 1 species
GUGCCAGCAGCCGCGGUAAUACGAAGGGGGCUAGCGUUGUUCGGAAUUACUGGGCGUAAAGCGCGUGUAGGCGGAUUUUUAAGUCGGGGGUGAAAUCCCAGAGCUCAACUCUGGAACUGCCUUCGAUACUGGGAAUCUGGACCCAAGUAGAGGCGAGUGGAAUUGCGAGUGUAGAGGUGAAAUUCGUAGAUAUUCGCAGGAACACCAGUGGCGAAGGCGACUCGCUGGACUUGUGGUGACGCUGAGACGCGAAAGCGUGGGUAGCAAACAGGAUUAGAAACCCGCGUAGUCC